UUUUUUUUUUACAGGGAGGCUGAGCCAAUGCAAUACACACAGGGCUACAGUUUGUGGAGUAAUUUGGUGGGAGAGUUUGUGGCUUUUAUUGCAAACUCAGAACAGCCUUUUUUUUUUUAAGCAUUUCACAACUACUUCAACACAUACAAUGUUGUCUCUUAACCUCCAGAUAUUUCCUGCUUUAAAUGCUGCAUGUUAUCUUCCCCCUUCUACUUCCUCCUCAUGCUGGUGGCUUAUUAGUGAUCACACACAUGCUGUCCGCUUCACACAAACACUCAUCAGCGCCUGAUGCAUACGUGCCCCGGAGAGCACACAUCCCCAUGGAAGCGACACCGGCCAACACGAGGAGACCUGCAGAUCCAACAAGCGCUGAAGCGAGGAACCCAAAGGUCUAUUCACACAUCUGCCAGCCCCUCUCUCUGAUCUAGACUCUUCUCUUAGAGUAUUUGACAGACUGUGGUUGACACUCGAUUUAAGGGGGUGUCAGUUUGUCAAAUACCCCAAGAGAGGGGGCACGAGUCUUCAAAGUUCAGCGACACCUCGUUUGCCUCAGGCAAGCUUUGUACACCCUCAUGUUCAACCGUUUGCAGCAGAGCAUGUGUAAGAUUAGCUAAUAAUGCUUGUUCAAAAUGUCUUCAGAAUGUCAGAUAAGCAGAACCACGGGAUGUCUUCAGUAUAAUCUAAUCAUUUAUAGUGUGCAUAUGUGUAUAUUGCUGCAAUCUCUCUGGAUGGAUGAACAGGUAGAUUGGAAAAAUAGAUGGAAAAAAAAUGCCAGAAAAGUAGCAUUAAUCCGUGCAGUGCCGUCUGUAUCAGUUUUGUUACACUAAAUGUUAUAAUAUAUAUGUUAUAAUAAAGUACUCUUAAAUACAGGUACUUAAUAUUAUUUAGAUAACAAGUGUUUAGCAUGCUAAGCAUACUAAAAGCUGUUGAUGACAGUUUGAGUGCACAAGUUUCUUGCUACAAAAAAUAAUUGUGAAAUUUGUUUCAUUGUCUUUGUCUGUUGCAAUGCAUGUGGGAGUGUGAAUACAUGUAAAUGAUAUCUUAACAUGUUUUGUUUACAUUUAUUAUUUCAAUUCAAUGUACAGUGGUUGGUUAUUAGAACAUCAAGCAAUCAUUACAAAUGAAAAUGUAUCUUUCAGAAAUGAAAUUUUUAUCAGGUUAAUAAGAAAAGCACAUUUGCAUUUCCAGAAAGAAUUACCAAGGCUAGCAAGGUUGCAAAAGAAUGAUGUUCUAGUUUUUGUUAAGCUUAAGUUUUAGCAUUUGGUCCUGCAUCAAUACAAUUUUGCAUUUCAGUCAGCAUUAUCAUAACA